AGGUACCACAAGAUGGCGACAGUUCGGGGUUCUUCCUCCCUCUCCACACGAGACACGUAAGGAAGAAUGUCCAGUCACAGAGAAAGUCUAGCUCCACACAUCUCGUAAUGCUUAUGCUAUACUGCCCCCUUCCAUGUAGAAGCAGUUGAGAGCUCACAUGUGGAACAUACUCAUCCCCAAGAAGCCUGUCUAUUCAUCUCUUGAGAGAACCACAAGAAAUAUAUCUGAAAUGCAAUUCAAGGCUAAUGUAACAACAAGGUUACAAAUCUAAACAUAUAUGUCAGAAAAGAAAAGUUACAGUUCUCAUAGUAACAUUAUAUCAUCAGCAUUCUACUGCCUG